rnacentral:sRNA from 1 species
AGUUACGACUAAUACGAUCCGUCAAUAGGAAAUACUCAGACUCAGACCACCAAUUCAAAUGGAAACUGGGGAAACUCACGAGAAAAACAUUGUUUUAUGAUUUUUACCAGUAAUCCUCCACUCUUCCUGCGAGGAAUCCCAUGUCAUCCAACAUCAGGGAUUUGAAGCAAACUUUAUGGUGUGGCGCAACUGGCAAGUGGCAAGCGGCAAGCGGCAAGUGUGUUACACAAGCAAUUACAACAACAAUGGGGCGUGCAAAUAAAAAUGCAGCCUCAGUUGUG